rnacentral:rRNA from 1 species
GACGAACGCUGGCGGCGUGCUUAACACAUGCAAGUCGAACGGAAAGGCCCUGCUUUUGUGGGGUGCUCGAGUGGCGAACGGGUGAGUAACACGUGAGUAACCUGCCCUUGACUUUGGGAUAACUUCAGGAAACUGGGGCUAAUACCGGAUAGGAGCUCCUGCUGCAUGGUGGGGGUUGGAAAGUUUCGGCUGUUGGGGAUGGACGCGCGGCUUAUCAGCUUGUUGGUGGGGUAGUGGCUUACCAAGGCUUUGACGGGUAGCCGGCCUGAGAGGGUGACCGGGCACAUUGGGACUGAGAUACGGCCCAGACUCCUACGGGAGACAGCAGUGGGAAGUAUUGCACAAUGGGCGGACGCCUGAUGCAGAAACGCCGCGUGCGGGAUGACGGCCUUCGGGUUGUAAACCGCUUUCGCCUGUGACGAAGCGUGAGUGACGGUAAUGGGUAAAGAAGCACCGGCUAACUACGUG